GGAGAAUGAGGAUGAGAAUUAAAGAAGUCAGGCGUCCACCUGGAGAAUGAGGAUGAGAAAAGAAGAAGUCAGGCGUCCACCUGGAGAAUGAGGAUGAGAAAAAAAGAAGUCAGGCGUCCACCUGGAGAAUGAGGAUGAGAAAAGAAGAAGUCAGGCGUCCACCUGGAGAAUGAGGAUGAGAAUUGAAGAAGUCAGGCGUCCACCUGGAGAAUGAGGAUGAAGAAGUUAAGAAGAAGUCAGGCGUCCACCUGGAGAAUGAGGAUGAGAAAAGAAGAAGUCAGGCGUCCACCUGGAGAAUGAGGAUGAGAAAAGAAGAAGUCAGGCGUCCACCUGGAGAAUGAGGAUGAGAAAAGAAGAAGUCAGGCGUCCACCUGGAGAAUGAGGAUGAGAAUUAAAGAAGUCAGGCGUCCACCUGGAGAAUGAGGAUGAGAAUUAAAGAAGUCAGGCGUCCACCUGGAGAAUGAGGAUGAGAAAAGAAGAAGUCAGGCGUCCAUCUGGAGAAUGAGGAUGAGAAUUAAAGAAGUCAGGCGUCCACCUGGAGAAUGAGGAUGAAGAAGUUAAGAAGAAGUCAGGCGUCCACCUGGAGAAUGAGGAUGAAGAAUUGAAGAAGUCAGGCGUCCACCUGGAGAAUGAGGAUGAGAAAAGAAGAAGUCAGGCGUCCACCUGGAGAAUGAGGAUGAGAAAAGAAGAAGUCAGGCGUCCACCUGGAGAAUGAGGAUAAGAAAAGAAGAAUCAGGCGUCCACCUGGAGAAUGAGGAUGAGAAAAGAAGAAGUCAGGCGUCCACCUGGAGAAUGAGGAUGAGAAUUAAAGAAGUCAGGCAUCCACCUGGAGAAUGAGGAUGAUAAUUAAGAAGUCAGGCGUCCACCUGGAGAAUGAGGAUGAGAAAAGAAGAAGUCAGGCGUCCACCAGGAGAAUGAGGAUGAGAAUUAAAGAAGUCAGGCGUCCACCUGGAGAAUGGGGAUGAGAAUUAAAGAAGUCAGGCGUCCACCUGGAGAAUGAGGAUGAGAAAAGAAGAAAUCAGGCGUCCACCUGGAGAAUGAGGAUGAGAAUAAAAGAAGUCAGGCGUCCACCUGGAGAAUGAGGAUGAGAAAAGAAGAAGUCAGGUGUCCACCUGGAGAAUGAGGAUGAGAAAAGAAGAAGUCAGGCGUCCACCUGGAGAAUGAGGAUGAGAAUUAAAGAAGUCAGGCGUCCACCUGGAGAAUGAGGAUGAGAAUUAAAAGAAGUCAGGCGUCCACCUGGAGAAUGAGGAUGAGAAUUAAAGAAGUCAGGCAUCCACCUGGAGAAUGAGGAUGAGAAAAGAAGAAAUCAGGCGUCCACCUGGAGAAUGAGGAUGAGAAAAGAAGAAGUCAGGCGUCCACCUGGAGAAUGAGGAUGAGAAUUAAAGAAAUCAGGCGUCCACCUGGAGAAUGAGGAUGAGAAUUAAAGAAGUCAGGCGUCCACCUGGAGAAUGAGGAUGAGAAAAGAAGAAGUCAGGCGUCCACCUGGAGAAUGAGGAUGAGAAUUAAAGAAGUCAGGCGUCCACCUGGAGAAUGAGGGUGAGAAUUAAAAGAAGUCAGGUGUCCACCUGGAGAAUGAGGAUGAAG
rnacentral:lncRNA from 1 species